UCCUCAUUACUAUAGUGGACAGUAUCUCCGCCUGUCACGCGGAAGACCGGGCUUCAAUUCCCCGACGGGGAG
rnacentral:tRNA from 1 species